CUUGACUGAGGAGGUAUUAUAUUUCAGAAGGCUUUAAUGCCUGUGGCUUGCUCCCUAGCUCACUACGUCUUGCCCACCGGUCCAAGCAAAAGAUCCUUUACAAUACUGCUGCGUAGAGUAACUAAUGGGAUGUCAGUUUAGAUUUAUCAUUCAUCCGCUUAGAGGACGCUGUCAAAAGUAGUGUCUCACACUGAUUUAACUACAUUUCAUGGGGUGCUGAUAAUGAGAUAGAGACUGAUAAGACACAAAAAAUCAUACAUAUAUUGAUAGGAAGCUAGUAGCCACGUAAUUUCGAUCCUCAUAUCGUUUAUCUCUUGCUGGCCCAAAAAAAUACCACUCAUAGCUUAAAAAAUUAGUAACACAAAGGGAAAACCCUUGAAACACUCAAUAUUUAUAACUGGCUCUUAAGUCCUUUAGCAGUCAAUAAUCGCAGCGCCUCUGCCUUCUGCCAAUUGAUCUUGUUCGUCACUUCGGCCAUCCGCUGCUUAUUCUCUCUCUUACCCAUCUGCUGCAGGUGAACCUCAUCAGGGCCAUCAGCCAGCCUCAAUGUGCGGAUACCCGCCCACAUGGAUGCCAGUGGCGUAUCCUGACAGACGCCCAUGCCGCCAUGCGCCUGCACCGCACGGUCAAUGACAGCCAGCGCCGUCUGUGGCACAAGCACCUUGGCCUCCGCAAUCUCCCUCAACGCGCUCUUGGCAUCACCAUUAUCGAUCAUGAUCGCGGCAUUCAGCACGGUGAGACGUGCAGCGUCAAUCUCAAUGCGGGACUUGGCGAUCCAUUCGAGAAUGACGCC
rnacentral:sRNA from 2 species